rnacentral:rRNA from 1 species
AGUGAAGCGGGAAGAGCUCAAAUUUGUAAUCUGGCACCUUCGGUGUCCGAGUUGUAAUCUCGAGAAGUGUUUUCCGCGCCGGACCGCAUACAAGUCUGUUGGAAUACAGCGUCAUAGUGGUGAGAACCCCGUAACUGAUGCGGAUGCCCGGUGCUUUGUGAUACACUUUCGAAGAGUCGAGUUGUUUGGGAAUGCAGCUCAAAUUGGGUGGUAAAUUCCAUCUAAAGCUAAAUAUUGGCGAGAGACCGAUAGCGAACAAGUACCGUGAGGGAAAGAUGAAAAGCACUUUGGAAAGAGAGUUAACAGUACGUGAAAUUGUUGGAAGGGAAACGCUUGAAGUCAGACUUGCUAUUUGGAAUUCAGCCGCAAGGUGUACUUUUCAAUUCGCAGGCCAGCAUCAGUUUUCGGGGGUGGAAAAGGGUAGAGAGAAGGUAGCAAUUUCGGUUGUGUUAUAGCUCUUUGCUGGAUUCAUCCUUGGGGACUGAGGAACGCAGUACGCUUUUUGCAAGGCUUUCGAGCUUUUCGUGCUUAGGAUGCUGGUGGAAUGGCUUUAAACGACCCGUCUUGAA